UGAGUCGGCCAGGCGGCCGCGUGCCGGCCCGUUCGCGGUGACCGGUCCGAGGAACGUCCGGGCUCCACAGGGCAGGGUGCUGGGUAACGCCCAGUCGGGGUGACCCGCAGGAAAGUGCCACAGAGAACAGACCGCCGAUGGCGGCGCCGGCGCUUCGGUGUCGGGGCCGCACAGGCAAGGGUGAAACGGUGCGGUAAGAGCGCACCAGCGCCCGGGGUGACCCGGGCGGCUCGGUAAACCCCAUUCGGAGCAAGGCCGAACAGGGACAGGGCGGCCCGUCCGACGUCCCAGGUGGGCCGCAAAGAUGGAUGGCCACCGAUCGGGACUCCCGCAAGGGACCCGUGAACAGAAUCCCGCCUACAAGCCGGCUCACCGU
rnacentral:RNase_P_RNA from 1 species